GGCUGAAAAGGGGGGGAAGAAAAGGGAGUGGAGUGUAGGGUUGGGCUUUGGAGUGGGCUUGAGUGUUGGGCCGGGUUUUAAUUAGUGUUGGGCUGGGUUUUAAUUAGUUUUGGGCCGAGAUUUUUUUUAUUUAUUCUGAUUGGGCCAUUUUCAUUUAAUCAACUGGGCCGAUUUUUAUUUAGUUAUUGGGUUGGGGUUAUUUAUUUCUUUUGUUGGGCUGCAUUUUAAAAAAAAAUGGUUGGCCCUUGUAUUUUUUUUUUAUUUAAAUGAGCUAUGCAGAUUUUAUUUAAAUGAACUGCACUAUUUUAAUUAAUUAGACUUAUUAAGUUUGAUUAAUUAUUUUUAAUUUGCAUAAUAAUAUUAUAUUAUUAUUAUGUGCAUAUUUUAAGUAAAUUACUUAUUAUAUGCUAAACAUGACAUGAUUUGCAUUAUAUUUUGCAAUAAGAAUAAAAGUAUUUAAUUGGUUUUAAUUAUAAUUCCAAUUAUUAAAGAAAGAUGAGUAAGAAUAUUGUUGGUGUUCUUAACUCAAGAGAAAUAUUUUCAAGUAUUUAUUUAUUAAAUUUUGAAAACCCGGCUAAGUGAAUCAUAGAAUAUUAAGCACUACACCAUGACUUAAGAUUAGAAUUUAAGGAGACCUAUUGAGAAUAGAUUUCUUGUAGGCUUUGAGCAUCAUGAGGAUUAGCACUGCUAUUCCGAUUCAGAGAUAACGUUAAACGACAGGCAUUGCCUAUACAGGUUGAGCAGCUGAUGGAAUGGAAUGAUGUUGAGCGGGUGUUCCUUUGACAUUACAAGAAAUGUAACCUUGAGUAUACAUCUUCAUAUGUAUAUCUCACACGUUUUCCGCUGCAAAACACUUUGAUUAGGAUAGCUCUAUGAUAUGAAGUUGUGAUACGUGUUAUUGGGUAACCCACCUUAAUCAGUUCUCAUUUAUGUGUAUGUUUUAUAAGUAUCCAAAUAAUCAUAUCUAUGAGUGACAUUUCCAUAUACUUUAAUGUUAA